GUCAAUCACCCCGGCCUAAAGGUCGGAGCUUGUUGGAGCACUCACAAGCUCGAGGUUGACCAGACCUAGCGCUGGAAGGCGCUACGUUGUGCGGAGACAGCAGACCCACCGUUGAAUGCUUCCUCAGUUCGACGCUCUGGAAGUCGCAGCAGCAGACAAGCCCCGGGUAGGCACGAAACGGGCUGCGACGGAAGCGAGGGCUUCGCCUGCUGCACAACAUGGUCGAGGGGAGCCAUAC
rfam:Burkholderia calidae type strain LMG 29321 genome assembly, contig: contig000117